AGAGCAAAGGGGAGCUAAAUCCGAUAAAGGGAAGGAAAAAGUGGUCGAAUAGCCGUUGAAGCCGUCCGACGACAUCCGAGAUUUUGCUCGUUAGCGAUCGGAUUCGGGAUCAUUAAAGUCGAAGUCAUCUACACUAUCAAAGCCUCCAUUUUGGUAUAAUUUUGGUUGAACUUUGAAAUGGCAUGUUUAGGACUACCCUAUUGUUGAAGGUCAUGUACCUUUCGGUUUUGUGUAAGCUUGGAUAGCCAUGCGAAAAUGGCUUAUAUACGUUUUUAGUAUGAUUCUAUAAUCGUUUGUAUGAUGAUCAUUAUGGGGUAUGGAAUUGUUUGAAAAGAUUAGCCAUUGGAAUGGUUAAUCGUGAUCACACUUUGUGCUAUGUAUGCAAAAAGGGCCAAUUGAAUCGUGGAAAUCAUGAAA